GCUGCUGUUGGAGGUAAUGUUGUAAUGUCUCAGAGUUUGUUCAUUCAUCAGCUCCUGGCCACCGUGAAUCAGUCGUGACUGAGAAGGGUAGAAAUAGCUAUCCAGUGCAAAUAGCUUCACCUUCAGGUCCAGCACCGUGUCGUCCAAAGAUACAGGCACAGAAAUCAUUUUUCUUGAGAAAGACUUCACAGAGAUGGGGAAUGUGGAGCUGCUCGUGGGCUCCAUUGUCUCUGCUUUGGGUCUUUCAGCCACCUGAGACACAGCUAUGUCUGUGGAUGAAGGUGCAUAAGAUUCUCACGGCCACAGACGGCCAUCCAGGAACAGGCGGCUGCCCACAAUUCUUCCGCAUAUGUCACUUCCCGAGAAAAUGAAAGCACGGAGAGACUUCAGGGAAACAGUGCUCGUCAUCACUCCCUCCUCUGGCCUCUGUGCGUCAGGGCAGGGAGAUGGGGGGGCAGGGAAUGCAGGGGGACAGUGAAGCAGGGAGGCAGCUCUUCUUCUGGAGGGCAUGGCUUUCAUUAGGACUCCUUCAGGCCCUUCUGUGUGUCACCAUGGAGAGCCCAGGUCCAUACCCCAUACUGUCCUAAUUUGCCCCAGUGCGCUUGGGCAGAGAAACACAGGGACACACGUCUUGGCCCUGAUCCAUCCAUGUCCCAUGCUGGGGGCUGCAGGCACAGCAGGGCCACAGGGUUUGAUCCCUCCUGCUGCUGGCCAUGUGGGUCUGUGAGCAGAGAGCAUCUCACCUUCAAAACGGGCUCAGCUGCAGCAAGGGGAGUUGUCCCAUGCCUGGCAGCCAGUCAGGAGCUGGUCCUCCCCUCCUGCAGCUGGGGGUGUGUGUGGAAAUUCAGCCCAGGACCAUGGGACACGUAUAAGUAAAGCUGCAUGAGAGGGCAGUUGACAUCCUACACAAUAUCAGUGUUGUAUGAUGAGUGUGAAAGGCAGUGGUAACCCAACACAGAUGUAAUUAGGAGAGAAAAACAAGGUGUGGGGUUCACCAUCUGCUGCCUGUGUAGAACUAUUUCUGUUUGCCCCAUAGUCCUGGGCUGAAUUUCCACCCUCCAGCUGAAGCUGAGGGGUCAGGCUGCACAGAGCCCGAGGGGCGUGCAGGGCAGUGGAGCUGGUGGGCAGCACACGGAGGGCUGGCAGUGGGGCCGCCAUGGGCGCGCAUCUCCGCAGACCGGGUGUGAAGAGGGUUUGUGUUGUGAGCACAGCAAUGGAGCUGUGUCAUCUUCCGGGAACGCCCCACCUCACCUCCGGGAUUGCCCCCAUCACUUCCGUGAGCAACCCAUAUCACUUCCGUGAGCACCCCAUGUCCCUCGGAUAAAACCCCGCGUCCACUUCCUUCGUCCCGCCCAUUUAUGUCUGAGCGCUGCGGGCUCUUCGUUCAUCCAGCAGGACGGCCGCCGCUUCGAGGUUCCCUCAGUCUCGUCAGCCCGCUGAGAUGGACCUGCAGGUCCUGAUGGCCGACAGCCCAGCGUGAGCCAGCAGCGUGCCCCGGUGGCCAGGAAAGCCAGCAGUGCCCUGGGGUGCCUUACAAAGAGUGUGGCCAGAAGAUGGUGCGAGGGUCUCACCUCUGCUCUGCGCCUUGUUGGGGGCCGCAUCUGAAGUACCGGGUCCAAUUCAGUGCUCCCGGAUUCAAGGAAGACAGGGAAGUGCUGCAGACAGCCCAGCAGAGGAAUACAAAGGCUGUUGGGGGCUGGAGCGUCACCGUGGUGCUGGAAGGCUGAGAGAACUGGGGCAGUUCGGACAGCAGAAGAGAAGGCUGAGAGGGGAGCAGAGCAACGCUUAUCAGUGUGUAAAGGGCGAUGAUAAAGUGGAUGGGGCCAGGCUAUUUUUGCAGCUGCCUGCUGACAGGACAAGGGGCCAAUGGGCACAAAUUGGAACUCAGGAAGUUCCAUAAAUUGAAUCUCACUGAGGUACUGAAGGUGGCCCUCUAUGAGUGCAGGAUUCUUCUGAGAGUGUAUGCUGAGACGCGGGGAAGAAAAAGACAUACUCAUAGUAAAUAGAAUAUAAUGUAAUUACAAAAAAUAGUUGAAAACAAUGGUCAGGUUGAUGAUUGGUGUGACGUUCUCAUCUGAUGAGGAAAAAAUUUAACUGUGAGUGGAUGAGGAGGGCCUGUCGCGUUACAUCUCGAGUGUUCAUGCAUGCCUAAUAUAACAGCAUGGAAGGGUUUGGGUUCAGGAAAUGGGAUCAAAAAAUCUGUGAAUUCCCUUAACAUAAGCCAUCCAGGUCAUCCACAAGGAAUGGGUCUAUUUUCUUGAGCACCUGAAAGAGCUUCUCUUGGGCCCUUUGCCCUUUUUUCUCAACUAGGUCCAGCAGAUACCGAUUCUUCUCCUGUUUUGUAUUUUGAGCUCGCACCUCCUCUUCUUCUUUACUGUUGAUUACACCUUCAUCCCUUAAGAGUAGUAGAAUGGAGGAGAUCUGCCCCAUCCUGGAACAAAGCUCUGUCUUGUGCUUCUUCAGGAAGUCUGCAUCUAGCAGAUAACAAAGCCUGUGUUACAGUGCUGCAUGUGGCAAGGCAGGCUGUUACCUCCUGUGGUACUCUGCAUCCCAGCCAACACACCCAAGGGCUGUUUACUCUGUCCCACAACCACAUGCUCCCAUUCCCUCCACUGCACUACCAGUGCUGUUUGCUGGCCUGGAGGCUGAGUCACCAGAAGAAAGCAACCUCAUCAGCUGUGGAAGCAUUGGGAGCAUUGGAGCCAAGUUCUCCUUACAGAUGGAUCUGAUCCUACCUGAUCUCAAUGAUGCCUCCCAGACCACAGUGUCAUUCUGUCCAUCUCUAAUAAAUAAUUCAAUUUCCUCUGCCA